rnacentral:rRNA from 1 species
UACGAAGGGGGCUAGCGUUGCUCGGAAUCACUGGGCGUAAAGGGCGCGUAGGCGGAUCUUUAAGUCGGGGGUGAAAGCCCAGGGCUCAACCCUGGAAUUGCCUUCGAUACUGAAGAUCUCGAGACCGGAAGAGGUAAGUGGAACUGCGAGUGUAGAGGUGAAAUUCGUAGAUAUUCGCAAGAACACCAGUGGCGAAGGCGGCAUACUGGUCCGGUUCUGACGCUGAGGCGCGAAAGCGUGGGGAGCAAACAGG